AUGCUAUGGACCAGUCUAGUUUUUUCUCAGCUUGUCAAACAGCAUUAUAAAAAACCUUCACAAUGCCAGGGUUUUUGGGGGUUUCAAAUGAUUCUCGAUCUCUUCAUUAUUUUAUUCUACACCGUAGGAACUGAAGUGAAGCCAGCUGUCAAUGAGACAAAUGAAUUGCCACCUAAUACAGGAUCUGGAACAAACAAUCAGGAGAGUGGCCAAAAUGCAGAAGGUGAUGCCAAAGACCAAGAGACAGGAACUGAAGUGAAGCCAGCAGUCAAUGAGACAAAUGAAUUGCCAUCUGAUACAGGAUCUGGAACAAACAAUCAGCAGAGUGGCCAAAAUGCAGAAGGUGAUGCCAAAGACCAAGAGACAGACCGGAGAAUCCUGUGGAUUUUGUUGCCUGUUUUGGGUGUGUUGGUGGCAGGUGUGAUCUUUGUCCUCAAGUUCAAAUGCAUGAAAGUGCAUGAUCAUGCAGGUGAGUCAGUGUGUGUUUGUGUGUGUGUGUGUGUGUGUGUGUGUGUGUGUGUGUGUGUGUGUGUGUGUGUGUGUGUGUGUGUGUGUGUGUGUGUGUGUGUGUAUGAAG
rnacentral:lncRNA from 1 species